rnacentral:rRNA from 1 species
ACCUCCCACCCGUGUUUAUCGUACCUUGUUGCUUCGGCGGGCCCGCCUCACGGCCGCCGGGGGGCAUCCGCCCCCGGGCCCGCGCCCGCCGAAGACACACAAACGAACUCUUGUCUGAAGAUUGCAGUCUGAGUACUUGACUAAAUCAGUUAAAACUUUCAACAACGGAUCUCUUGGUUCCGGCAUCGAUGAAGAACGCAGCGAAAUGCGAUAAGUAAUGUGAAUUGCAGAAUUCAGUGAAUCAUCGAGUCUUUGAACGCACAUUGCGCCCCCUGGUAUUCCGGGGGGCAUGCCUGUCCGAGCGUCAUUGCUGCCCUCAAGCACGGCUUGUGUGUUGGGCUCUCGCCCCCCGCUUCCGGGGGGCGGGCCCGAAAGGCAGCGGCGGCACCGCGUCCGGUCCUCGAGCGUAUGGGGCUUCGUCACCCGCUCUGUAGGCCCGGCCGGCGCCCGCCGGCGAACACCAUCAAUCUUAACCAGGUUGACCUCGGAUCAGGUAGGGAUACCCGCUGAACUUAAGCAUAUCAAUAAGCGGAGGAA